rnacentral:lncRNA from 1 species
CAGCUGGGAGGCUGGGCUGUUCCAUGCUUACAUGCUAAACAAGUGCCUUUGCCAUGAUUAAUGGGAUAGACCACUAAACUGGCCACCUCCAAAAUUAUGGAAUGUGUUAAUCAGAUGGACGGAUGACCUCGGGGAGUGCAGUGACCCUCAGGAUCAGAGAGGUGAAUUGCUCGGGAUCCAUCCAGAAUAUCUUUACUUUUUAGAAGGAUGUUCUAUUGCACGUGCUUUUAGUUCUGGAAGUGAUCAGCAUGUGGGCCAGCGUGAUGACUGCCACCUGAGUGCCACUGAAACCUGCACCAACAGUUCCUCUGGGAUGGCAGGAGACAAGAUAAGCUACCAUUGUAACAUUGCUUCACUAAGGAUCUCUGAAUGGCUCUGCAGGUGUAAAAGCUCCAUCUCCACUGCAGCUCUAUCAUGAGUGAAAUAGCCUUGUUCUGUGUGCCUCUCUGGUUGUCUCUGAUCUGCAGAGGAGUACAAGCAUUAGGAGCCAGCACCCUGGAAUUGCAGCUCUGGCUGUGGAUCCAUCCAUGCUACACUCUCAACGUAUGACAGCUCUUUGUACAAUGUACUCAGGUCAGCUUUUAAUUAGCUAACUUAUAUCCUGGUAGCAGCCAUGCAGAACUGAAUGCAAGCUAGGCUAACUAUCCUAUGAUAUCUGCUUAGAGUUUGGGAUAGCCUUUGUAAACUGUGUUGAACCCUAGUUGCCAU